AGACAUGACGUAACCCAUGUUGGGGUUGGUUUAGCAGAUAUAAUUUUCCACAUAUCAUUUCGACACUUUCAAAGCAUUGACUUGAGUGGGUUUAGGAUCCUAAUUAAACAUACUCAUGGCCAACUUUGUUCAGGCAAAGUUUCAUCACAUGAUUAGGAAUUAAUUCACGUCCGAGAUUGUGAGAUCCGGUAUUGAUUUUACUAAACAUGAAUAUAUAUAUAUAUACAUACGUAGCUACUCUUAUAUAUGUAUAUUAGAUACCACAUAUUUAUGUGGCUGAGCAUUACACAAUUAAAAAAAAAAGAAAGGAAAUUGGCAUGGCCCCCACGUGGCCCAAAAAUUUUCCACUAAGCACCAAUUUUGCCAACGCCAUUGACUUCUUUCUUUACUUUAGUAUUUCAUUUUUAUUUUCUUCUUUGUUCUCGGUUAGCUGAAGAAAUCGAAGAACAGAGGGAGAAAGAGAGAGAGAGAGAGAGAGAGAGCGAGAAAUAGAGGAACAGAGAGCUCAAGAUGGAGCUUCGGGAAGAAAGGAGAUCAAAGGGACGAUGACGGUGAGGGUGAUGGCGAUGGUCUUACGUUGUCCUCUGCCCCAUCUCUGAGCUGAGGCAAUUAGAACUUCGCAUUCUGAAGGCCCGUCUUUCUUAAAUAUUAUAUUGGAAGUUGGGUGAGUACCCUAUUCCCUUGUAAAAUAAUGUAUUAUAGUUAUAUAAAUUAUUUAAGAAGAAUAUAGUGAUAGUUAGAUUAAGGAAUCAGUCUUGCUAUGUUGUGUGAAAUGAUUUGAGAGGUAUUGCAUUUUAUGAUUUAUUUCGAUUUGAGAUAUUUAGUGUGGUUGUGUAUGCGAAUUGUGUAUGAGAUACGCGGUGAUAACAUGCUGUCAUUGUAAUGUGAUUGAGAUUGUGUUUGUGUAUGAUGAUAUAUGAGGUGAGCUGGCGUGGUUGCAAUGGAUUAUGCUUGCAUUGUUGUUUAACUAUAACCUUAGGGCCGCUGGACCCGGCGUGAUAGAAAAUGGGGCCUUAACGGUUGCUGGACAUGGCGGAAUAGAAAGUGGGGCACGAAUGGCCGCUGGACCUGACGGAAUAGAAAGUGCGGCAUGAAUGGCCGCUGGACCCGGCGAAAUCGAAAGUGGGGGCACGAAUGGCUGCUAGACUCGGCGGAAUAGAAAAAAGGGCCUAAACAUCCUGACUUGUCACAAGGAAAUGAGACUCUAUGGUUAUAUUGACUGAUUGUGUUGUAUAUUGUUUGUCUGAUAUGUUUGCUGGAGAUGUGAUGAUUGUUGAGAUUGCUGAAGAUGUGAUGAUUGUUGAGAUUGUCUAAAGAUGUUCUGUGAAAGCCGUGUUGUUGCUAGAGUUUGAUAUGUCAGGUGAUUGUGUUGUGAAGUUCUAUAGAAUGCUAAUGAAUGGACAUUUGAUGUUUAUAUGAUAUUGGAUAUUAGAGAAA